rnacentral:rRNA from 1 species
CAGGCUGUCUCCACCCGAGACUCAGUGAAAUUGAACUCGCUGUGAAGAUGCAGUGUACCCGCGGCAAGACGGAAAGACCCCGUGAACCUUUACUAUAGCUUGACACUGAACAUUGAGCCUUGAUGUGUAGGAUAGGUGGGAGGCUUAGAAGUGUGGACGCCAGUCUGCAUGGAGCCGACCUUGAAAUACCACCCUUUAAUGUUUGAUGUUCUAACGUUGACCCGUGAUCCGGGUUGCGGACAGUGUCUGGUGGGUAGUUUGACUGGGGCGGUCUCCUCCUAAAGAGUAACGGA